AAAAAAAAAAUCUCUUUUUAAAAACGGGGGGUCUUGCAUUUUCAAUAAACGGAGGAAAAAGAGUCCGUCUUGAAACACGGACCGCUGCAUGUCCAUAACGGAGGAAAAGAAACCAACAGGGAUUGCCUCAGUAACGGCGAGUGAAGCGACAAUAGCUCAAAUUUGAAAUCUGGCCCCAGGACCGAAUUGUAAUUGGCAGAGGAUGCUUUUGACGAAGGGCUUUCCGGGUCCCCUGGAAGGGGGCGCCGCAGAGGGUGAGAGCCCCGUAUGGUUAGCCCUUGAAUCUUUGUAAAGCUCUUUCGACGAGUCGAGUAGUUUGGGAAUGCUGCUCUAAUUGGGAGGUAAAUUUCUUCUAAAGCUAAAUAUUUGCCAGAGACCGAUAGCGCACAAGUAGAGUGAUCGAAAGAUGAAAAGCACUUUGAAAAGAGGGUUAAAUAGCACGUGAAAUUGUUGAAAGGGAAGCGCUUGUAACCAGACUUGCGCCGGCCGGAUCAUCUAGCGUUUUCGCUGGUGCUCUCUGUCCGGUUCAGCCCAGCAUCGGUUUUCGCCGGGGGAUAAAAGCUUUGGGAAUGUACCUCCUUUCGGGGAGUAUUAUAUCCUAUUGCGUAAUAUCCUGGCAGAGAUCGAGGACCGCGCUUUAGCAAGGAUGCUGGGAUAU
rnacentral:rRNA from 1 species